rnacentral:sRNA from 1 species
GCUGGGCGCGGUGGUGCAUGCCUGUAAUUCCAGCAGCUUGGGAGGCUGAGACAGGAGAAUUGAGAGUUCAAAGCCAGCCUCAGCAACUGUGAGGCACUAAACAACUCAGAGAGACCCUGUCUCUA